AUUGAACGCUGGCGGCAGGCCUAACACAUGCAAGUCGAACGGUAACAGGAAGCAGCUUGCUGCUUCGCUGACGAGUGGCGGACGGGUGAGUAAUGUCUGGGAAUCUGCCCGAUGGAGGGGGAUAACUACUGGAAACGGUAGCUAACACCGCAUAACGUCGCAAGACCAACGAGGGGGACCUUAGGGCAUCCUGCCAUCGGAUCUGCUCAGACGGGAUUAGCUAGUAGGUCGGGUAAUGGCUCACCUAGGCGACGAUCCCUAGCUGGUCUGGGAGGAUGACCCGCCACACUGGAACUGAGACACGGUCCAGACUCCUACGGGAGGCAGCAGUGGGGAAUAUUGCACAAUGGGCGCAAGCCUGAUGCAGCCAUGCCGCGUGUAUGAAGAAGGCCUUCGGGUUGUAAAGUACUUUCAGCGGGGAGGAAGGGAGUAAAGUUAAUACCUUUGCUCAUUGACGUUACCCGCAGAAGAAGCACCGGCUAACUCCGUGCCAGCAGCCGCCGUAACAC
rnacentral:rRNA from 1 species